CCUACGGGGGGCAGCAGUCGAGAAUCAUUCACAAUGGGGGAAACCCUGAUGGUGCGACGCCGCGUGGGGGAAUGAAGGUCUUCGGAUUGUAAACCCCUGUCAUGUGGGAGCAAAUUAAAAAGAUAGUACCACAAGAGGAAGAGACGGCUAACUCUGUGCCAGCAGCCGCGGUAAUACAGAGGUCUCAAGCGUUGUUCGGAAUCACUGGGCGUAACGCGUGCGUAGGCUGUUUCGUAAGUCGUGUGUGAAAGGCGCGGGCUCAACCCGCGGACGGCACAUGAUACUGCGAGACUAGAGUAAUGGAGGGGGGACCGGAAUUCUCGGUGUAGCAGUGAAAUGCGUAGAUAUCGAGAGGAACACUCGUGGCGAAGGCGGGUUCCUGGACAUUAACUGACGCUGAGGCACGAAGGCCAGGGGAGCGAAAGGGAUUAGAUACCCUUUUAGUC
rnacentral:rRNA from 1 species